rnacentral:rRNA from 1 species
CCUACGGGGUGCAGCAGUGGGGAAUAUUGGACUAUGGGCGAAAGCCUGAUCCAGCCAUGCCGCGUGUGUGAAGAAGGCCUUUUGGUUGUAAAGCACUUUAAGCGAGGAGGAGGCUACUUAGAUUAAUACUCUAGGAUAGUGGACGUUACUCGCAGAAUAAGCACCGGCUAACUCUGUGCCAGCAGCCGCGGUAGUACAGAGGGUGCGAGCGUUAAUCGGAUUUACUGGGCGUAAAGCGUGCGUAGGCGGCUUUUUAAGUCGGAUGUGAAAUCCCUGAGCUUAACUUAGGAAUUGCAUUCGAUACUGGGAAGCUAGAGUAUGGGAGAGGAUGGUAGAAUUCCAGGUGUAGCGGUGAAAUGCGUAGAGAUCUGGAGGAAUACCGAUGGCGAAGGCAGCCAUCUGGCCUAAUACUGACGCUGAGGUACGAAAGCAUGGGGAGCAAACAGGAUUAGAUACCCGAGUAGUC